GGUAGUUUGUAAAAACAAUGUCAAAAUCGAAAUGUAACUGACAAAAGAAGUUACAGACAUUAAAAAAGGUUGAGACAUUGAAGGCCAAAUAAGUUUUCAUAUUUCACAUUCUUGCGUGUCUUAUAGUUAUCAGACGGUCAUUAUAGAGUUUACAAAGUAAUUUAAUACUAAGGCAAAAGUUAAUGUAGAUUUUCAUUGGUGAAAUUUAGACUGCAAUACAAAUAAAGGAUUCUCAAAUGAUCAUGACUUUGGUUUGUAGUACAAUGAGCAAACCCCACAAUCAAUCAAUCAAUCAACCAAUCAAUGAACCAAUUAAUCAAUUAACUAAUCAAUUAUUCAAUCAAUACAAUUGAGAAUGGAAAUAAAGAAUGUGGCAAAGAGACAACAGCCAAACCAAAGAGCAGAAAACAGAAAACAACCGAAGGCCACCAAUGGGUGUUCAACACAACGAGAAAAUCCCGCAACCAGAGGCGGGC
rnacentral:lncRNA from 1 species